rnacentral:rRNA from 1 species
UGAGCUGUGAUGGGGAGAAGACAUUGUGUCUUCGAGUCGUUGAUUUCACACUGCCGAGAAAAGCCUCUAGAUAGAAAAUAGGUGCCCGUACCGCAAACCGACACAGGUAGUCAAGAUGAGAAUUCUAAGGUGAGCGAGCGAACUCUCGUUAAGGAACUCGGCAAAAUGACCCCGUAACUUCGGGAGAAGGGGUGCUCUUUAGGGUUAACGCCCAGAAGAGCCGCAGUGAAUAGGCCCAAGCGACUGUUUAUCAAAAACACAGGUCUCUGCUAAACCGUAAGGUGAUGUAUAGGGGCUGACGCCUGCCCGGUGCUGGAAGGUUAAGAGGAGUGGUUAGCUUCUGCGAAGCUACGAAUCGAAGCCCCAGUAAACGGCGGCCGUAACUAUAACGGUCCUAAGGUAGCGAAAUUCCUUGUCGGGUAAGUUCCGACCCGCACGAAAGG